rnacentral:lncRNA from 1 species
AUGAAGUAUCCUCCAGUUCCUUUGGUGACUGAGCUGACUUUGCCUAUUUUCUUUUGCCUUUCUUUGCCAUACGUACUAACACUGAUCAUAGUAGUGAUCUGGCUACGGCUCUUACUUAAUGAAGAAGAGAUGCCUCCUGCAGAAGAAACUAAGAAACAGUCUCUGAUUGCUGAUGUGUCUCAUUCUGAAUCUAAAUUUGAAGAUGAACCAACAGAUGAUGAAAGCCAGGAUGAUACAGCAAGUACAGAAUUUAAAGAGGACAAACAAUCUAGUGGCCCAGUGGGACAACCAAGGCCCAAACCUGCUUAUCUGAGUUCAAAGCCAAAAGCAAACUGCCAUCUCAGACGGCUGGUCCCAGAACCAAAGAUAAAACCCUCCCACGUGGGAAGGAAUGUUCUCUGUAACAUCAUGAUGCUGCUGUGCUCCAUGUUUUGUUCUCUCACCUGGACUUUUCUCAGCCAUUUGCUCCAGAUCUGUAACGUCCUGAGGAUUCAGCUGCUGCCAUCCUCUCUGGUUGUUGAUGUGGCUCGGCUUUGUGAUUUGCUGCGUGGAAAUGUUGUGAAAAUCCUGGGCUCCCCAAGGCUACAAAGCAGAGGGCUGUUAACUUCAGUCUUGGGGAUGAGAUACAAGAAAACAGAACAGAGUGCAGCUCAGAGGACUGCCUCGAGGUAGCAGUGAAGCUGGUAGUUCUAUGACCUUUAGCAGCAAUCCUGUUCAGCGUCAGUGAAAGCUACUCUAGCGUGGUAAGGGGAGGUUAAUUCUCUAAUAAAGAAAUGCAGUCAGGACUAAACUGAUACA